rnacentral:rRNA from 1 species
GACAGAGGAGCCAAGCGUUGUCCGGAAUGACUGGGCGUAAAGCGCACGCAGGUGGUCGUGUACGUGUCGUGUGAAAGCAGCUCGCUUAACGAGCUGAGGCCACGACAGACUGCGCGACUGGAGCCCGUGAGAGGUCCGUGGAAUUGCCGGUGUAGUGGUGAAAUGCGUAGAGAUCGGCAGGAACACCCAUGGGGAAGCCAACGGACUGGCACGGCGCUGACACUGAGGUGCGACAGCGUGGGGAGCAAACGGG